rnacentral:tRNA from 1 species
GAGGGUAUAGCUCAAUGGUGGGGUGCAUGCUUAGUAUGCACAAGGUCCUGGGGUCAGUCCCCAGUACCUCCA